CGGAGUUUAGUGUAGUCUGGCAACACCCAAGGUUUGGGACCUUGUAUCACUGGUUCAAGUCCAGUAACUCCGACCA
rnacentral:tRNA from 1 species